rnacentral:rRNA from 1 species
AGAGUUUGAUCCUGGCUCAGGAUGAACGCUAGCGGCAGGCUUAACACAUGCAAGUCGAGGGGUAGAGGUUGCUUGCAACCUUGAGACCGGCGCACGGGUGCGUAACGCGUAUGCAACCUACCUUUUACAGAGGGAUAGCCCAGAGAAAUUUGGAUUAAUACCUCAUAGUAUAUAUCUUUCGCAUGUUAGGUAUAUUAAAGUUCCAACGGUAAAAGAUGGGCAUGCGUCCUAUUAGCUAGAUGGUAAGGUAACGGCUUACCAUGGCUACGAUAGGUAGGGGUCCUGAGAGGGAGAUCCCCCACACUGGUACUGAGACACGGACCAGACUCCUACGGGAGGCAGCAGUGAGGAAUAUUGGACAAUGGGCGCAAGCCUGAUCCAGCCAUGCCGCGUGCAGGAAGAAGCAUCUAUGGUGUGUAAACUGCUUUUGUACAGGAAGAAACAUCCCGACGUGUCGGGACUUGACGGUACUGUAAGAAUAAGGAUCGGCUAACUCCGUGCCAGCAGCCGCGGUAAUACGGAGGAUCCAAGCGUUAUCCGGAAUCAUUGGGUUUAAAGGGUCCGUAGGCGGUUUGGUAAGUCAGUGGUGAAAGCCCGCAGCUCAACUGUGGAACGGCCAUUGAUACUGCCAGACUUGAAUUACAAGGAAGUAACUAGAAUAUGUAGUGUAGCGGUGAAAUGCUUAGAUAUUACAUGGAAUACCAAUUGCGAAGGCAGGUUACUACUGGUGGAUUGACGCUGAUGGACGAAAGCGUGGGGAGCGAACAGGAUUAGAUACCCUGGUAGUCCAA